CCAGACUCCUACGGGAGGCAGCAGUGGGGAAUAUUGGUCAAUGGACGGAAGUCUGAACCAGCCAAGUAGCGUGCAGGAUGACGGCCCUAUGGGUUGUAAACUGCUUUUGUAUGGGGAUAAAGUUAGGGACGUGUCCCUAUUUGCAGGUACCAUAUGAAUAAGGACCGGCUAAUUCCGUGCCAGCAGCCGCGGUAAUACGGAAGGUUCAGGCGUUAUCCGGAUUUAUUGGGUUUAAAGGGAGCGUAGGCUGGAGAUUAAGUGUGUUGUGAAAUGUAGACGCUCAACGUCUGACUUGCAGCGCAUACUGGUUUCCUUGAGUACGCACAACGUUGGCGGAAUUCGUCGUGUAGCGGUGAAAUGCUUAGAUAUGACGAAGAACUCCGAUUGCGAAGGCAGCUGACGGGAGCGCAACUGACGCUUAAGCUCGAAGGUGCGGGUAUCAAACAGGAUUAGAUACCCUGGUAGUCCGCACAGUAAACGAUGGAUGCCCGCUGUUGGUACCUGGUAUCAGCGGCUAAGCGAAAGCAUUAAGCAUCCCACCUGGGGAGUACGCCGGCAACGGUGAAACUCAAAGGAAUUGACGGGGGCCCGCACAAG
rnacentral:rRNA from 1 species